rnacentral:rRNA from 1 species
UACGUAGGGUGCAAGCGUUAAUCGGAAUUAUUGGGCGUAAAGAGCUCGUAGGCGGUGUGUCGCGUCGGCCGUGAAAACCUGCAGCUUAACUGUGGGCUUGCGGUCGAUACGGGCAUCACUGGAGUUCGGCAGGGGAGACUGGAAUUCCUGGUGUAGCGGUGAAAUGCGCAGAUAUCAGGAGGAACACCGAUGGCGAAGGCAGGUCUCUGGGCCAUUACUGACACUGAGAAGCGAAAGCAUGGGAGCGAACAGG